rnacentral:rRNA from 1 species
CAGUCGCCGCGGUAAUACGAAGGGGGCUAGCGUUGCUCGGAAUGACUGGGCGUAAAGGGCGCGUAGGCGGAUCACGCAGUCAGAUGUGAAAUUCCUGGGCUUAACCUGGGGGCUGCAUUUGAGACGCGUGGUCUAGAGUGUGAAAGAGGGUCGUGGAAUUCCCAGUGUAGAGGUGAAAUUCGUAGAUAUUGGGAAGAACACCGGUGGCGAAGGCGGCGACCUGGUUCAUGACUGACGCUGAGGCGCGAAAGCGUGGGGAGCAAACAGGAUUAGAGACCCCCGUAGUCCCUGUCUCUUAUAA